UGGGGAAUUUUGGACAAUGGGCGAAAGCCUGAUCCAGCAAUGCCGCGUGUGUGAAGAAGGCCUUCGGGUUGUAAAGCACUUUUGUCCGGAAAGAAAUCCUUGGCUCUAAUACAGUCGGGGGAUGACGGUACCGGAAGAAUAAGCACCGGCUAACUACGUGCCAGCAGCCGCGGUAAUACGUAGGGUGCAAGCGUUAAUCGGAAUUACUGGGCGUAAAGCGUGCGCAGGCGGUUUGCUAAGACCGAUGUGAAAUCCCCGGGCUCAACCUGGGAACUGCAUUGGUGACUGGCAGGCUAGAGUAUGGCAGAGGGGGGUAGAAUUCCACGUGUAGCAGUGAAAUGCGUAGAGAUGUGGAGGAAUACUGCAUGGAUCGGCAAGGACGGACGCCCAGGGCCCCCAAGUGGCCAAAUCCUGGACGCUCAUGCAACGAAAAGCGUGGGGGAGCAAAACAGGAUUGGAUACCCCUGGUAGUCCACGCCCUAAACGAUGUCAACUAGUUGUUGGGGGAUUCAUUUUCCUUAGU
rnacentral:rRNA from 1 species